rnacentral:rRNA from 1 species
AUUGAACGCUGGCGGCAGGCCUAACACAUGCAAGUCGAACGAGUGGCGGACGGGUGAGUAAUGUCUGGGAAACUGCCUGAGGGAGGGGGAUAACUAAUGGAAACGGUAGCUAAUACCGCAUACCAUCAGAUGUGCCCAACUGGGAGUGGCUAGUUGGUGGGGUAACGGCUCACCAAGGAGACGAUCCCUAGCUGGUCUGAGAGGAUGAACAGCCACACUGGAACUGAGACACGGUCCAGACCCCUACGUGAGUCAGCAGUGUGGAAUAUUGCACAAUGGGCGCAAGCCUGAUGCAGCCAUGCCGCGUGUAUGAAGAAGGCCUUCGGGUUGUAAAGUACUUUCAGCGGGGAGGCGUUACCCGCAGAAGAAGCACCGGCUAACUCCGUGCCAGCAGCCGCGGUAAUUC